UGGGAGUGCUCUUGUCGUUGCUUGGUAAAUGUUUCGUAGGAGAGCGCUUGACUUGCACUGAAAGUUAAAUGUGCUGCAACGAAUACACUUGCAGACAUGUGGGUGCAUUGCGGUUAGGCGGUUGUGAUAGGCGAAAAGUCACACAUAACUAUCUGCGCGCGCAAAUAUUCAAUUAAUAUCAGCGCUUUGCAGCAUAAAGUGCGUUCCUAUAUAUUGAAAUUUGGAGUUUGAAAGUUGGCGAACUUGUAGUUACGGAUUUUGGUAACCAAUUAAUACUUAAAAUACUGAUCACGAUAUACAUAUGUAUGUAUGUACAUAGCUUAGCUGUUUUCAAAUUUAUCAUAUCAUCGUA
rnacentral:lncRNA from 1 species